CUGUCUGUCUGUCUAGCACCACAGCUCGGGCGCUGCUGCAGAGGGAAGAAAGAUUUGGGGAGAGGGGCUCAGAGACGGGCUGGGGGUGGGGUCUCCCUGGCUGAUUUUGGCCUGAAAAGGAUAGCUCCUUCGGCUUAGGGACUAGGGCUGGGACUGGGUGACAGGUGGGGAAACAGGCACAGAGAGGGCAGUGCCCAUUCCUGAUGUGGUCUGGAGUGGAGCCUGGGCAGGGUGGUACCACGUGGGUGCUUUAGUCUGUGGGCCACAGAGCCUCGAGACAGAGCACAGAGAGGGAUGGCACGGGGACCCAAGGACCGGGACUGGGAGUCCUUUUACCACCUCCUAGUGGGUGCUCUUAAGUCCAUCGUACGUGUUUCAUGUUCCCCGCGACCGGGGCCCUGCAGAGGCCCAGCCGCCGCUGGACUGCAGGAAGUAUUUAUGAGCACAUCUGUGUGCUGCAAUUGUGUGUCUCUAACGGGGGAGGGGGAGGAGGGGAUUUGGUGGUGAUUAUUUAAGGUAGAGGGCAGCAAGGGGAUGGGGGCAGAAGAAGUGCGGCUCCCGCACGGUUACUGUGCUGCUUGUAUAGGAGAGAGGCACGCCCGCCUCAGGGAUGAGAGCGGGUCGGGACCAGAGGCCUGUGGGUGAUUCUCGGUAUCCGCGGGAAGGGAGCAAAGGGAUCCGAGUGGUUUGCGGUCCUUCAUGGUUUUAUUACACAUCGUAGGAGAAUAAAGAAGUUGUAAUGAUGGCCUUGAGUAGAGCAAUUGUGAGACUGUGCUGGACAAAAGACGGUGAUUAAUCCAGGUCCGCUAACCCAACAUCCGCACACAAAAAGCUCUGGGCUAUUUGCUUCCCUUUAAGGGGGCUUUGUGUUCCCUAGAAUGGGCACACUGGGGUUUCUCCUCUGGAGAAGAUCCCCGCUGUGGGGAAGGAAACUGAAGUCCGGCACAAGCCGGGACUGCUGGGCGUCCCCUGUGUAGUUAACAACGAGUAUGGACGCACCGAGGAAGUGAGAGCGCCAACACGCGCCAAUGCGGAGAGCGUGUCUAUGGACAGGUGUUAGGAGCGAUCUGGCUCUACCCAAAGUAGUUGUUAAAAAUAGUGAAACAGACACCCAACUGUGGGUGUGGGUAGGAAGCAUAGCCCCAGGUGUAUUUAAGAAAAGAAAAGUAAAAGGAGUUCCCUGGCGGCUCAGGGGGUGAAGGAUCUGGUGUCGUCAUUGAUGUGGCUCAGGUCACUGCUGUGGUAUGGGUUCAAGGCCUGGCCCUGGAAUUUACAUAUAUACAUGUCAUGGGAAUGGCCAACAAAAAACCAAAAAAGCCCAGAUGUGUGGAACAGUCAUUGGUCCUGGGCUGAAUGGUGCCUUCGUGUGUAUCUGCCUAUGGUCGGAAAUGAAUUAGACGCGUAAAUAAAAUACAGGACGAAAUCAGAGCAGACCAAGUGGGAACCAUCCAAGAUAAGGUUUUACGAAUUACAGAGUAAGAUGAACACGCUUAUGUAGAAUCGUGGACUGUUUAGAGCAACAAAACCAAAGUUCUCACCUCUGGGAAUAAGAAGCAUCGUUUUAUUGUGUGUUGGAGCUGAGUUCAUGUGUGUUCCCUGUAUUUAAAAAAAAAAAAAGUAAAAACGAGAAAAGGGACAAGUAGGAAACAAAGAGGAGAUUACAUCUGGAAUCAAAGCUAAUUAUGGCUUCAGUUCUGAGCCCAUUAGGAAAAAGAUCUGGGCUGGUCCUUCUGUGAGGAGAACAGCAGAGAGACAGAUGCUUAUCAUGGUCAUUAGUCUUGUUUCUGAUUAGGGUGGUGAAUUCAUGCAUGUUGAUUGUAAUAAAUAACAUGAUUAAACGAAAAAAUAUGCCCAGUGAGCGCUGUGCCUGGGCCGGCAGUGAGUCUGUGUCUUGAAGCAAAGGUUGUGAUUUAUCCUGGGUUGCGCAGCCGUUGGCUGUUAGCAAACAUCUAGGUUGAUUCAUCCUUUUUAACAUCUGCCUUGUGUCCCACAGAACGGAGGCCCCAGAGUGGGUCCCCUGACAUGCCGCUGGUGAAGACCGUGGCCGUGACCUCUGUGGGAAACGAGCCAUGGACCAACCAACGUUAUUACAGAAUAUUGAGUCGAUCUCCUUGUGCUAUACAGAAAGAUUCAAAAAGGACCAAGAAUGGCGAUGGGGAGUGUGGAGUUGCAUGAAGACUAUUGGCUGAUCCUUGUGCCACCAGCGAGGUCCCCUGUAGAAAGAUUCUAUUAGGUCUGAGAGAAAUGAACAAAAAUCACAGAUUCAACAUACCCAAUCUGAUUGACUCAGUGAUGAAGCUGUCAGCUGUCAGUAUCCGUGGAUACACAGCCAAGGGACUCACGGUAUAGGAUGAAGAUGAUUUUUAUCUCAAAUGAUUCUGAAAAAGAGGGCAGACGCUGAAGAGUAUGGCGCCUAUGAGGUGGAGGAAGAUUAAUGACUGAUCCUGUUCCACCCUCCUGAGGGCCAUAUAACAAGAUGGGACCUAGUUUCUCCCUGCUUCGAUUAAGUACAUGGAGAUAUGCCAGAUGCCGUACUGACUCCCCUCUUCCACUGUGACAGUCAGAGACACCUCGACAUCGGCAAGUGACCGCUGGGGGCAGUGUUGCCCCCACUGAGAAGCAUCAGGAAUGACCCCAGGACAGCACAUUUACUCAUUUUCUAAGGAACAAAAUCUUAGCAGUUAGCUCUGUGGCUUAAGAACAGAGAGAAAUUUAAUGCAAACACAGCAAGCUGAUCUGAUCCUUCUCUGACUGGGAAGACCCUGACUAUUCUGGGACUUAGGAGAUUAAAGGCCAAGGUGAGGAAGCAUCAGUGUUGGUGUUAUUACACCUGCUUUACCAUAAGGACAAAUCAGGCAAAAGGCAGAAGAGCAGGUGGACGCUAAUGAGUGAACAGAGAAUGGCUGAUUUAAUCAUUUAAUAAAGAAUUGCUAUCAUGAGCGAGCAGCAUAAAGUCUAAUAUAAAGUGAAGACACUGUCGCAUUUGGUCGUUAGCCUGUGAUGGAGACCUUGACCUUUGCCUCUCCGGAUAAAGAGAGAAGCGCUCGCUGGUGACGAUGGUGGCCAUGGCUUCCGUGGGUAAAUCGAGGAACAAAAAGGAUGCUGUUCUUGGGUCAGUGAUGACAGUGAGACUUGACUCGACUUCAUGAUUAACCUAGCACCUCCAACUGAUGUCCUUUAAGUCAGUCUGGACCCUUUGUCCUUCUGAACGUUGCUCCACAGAAUGAAGGUCACGGCUGAUUGCAUCCGUCUGUUCUGAGGAAGAUCUUGGCUGUUACCUUUCUGGAAUGGAUGUGCAAUGAUUCAAUUAAAGACUAUAGAACUUACAGUGGGUGCUCCAGGUCAAUGUAAGCAUCUUCAAGAGUCCUGCUCUCUCUGGCCGCCUCAACGUGUCCGGAACAUGGAGACUGAUAAUCAACGCCUCAGCUGAUUUCAGCUUCUGCCACGAUCAAGACUGUCCUGCUGCCACCGUUUUGUAAAAGACCAAGACUGGACUCAGCGAGAUGACUGGAAAAUUCUCUCAUGGUCACGUUCUCCGUAUAGAGACCAGAAAAGAGCACUGAACUCACCCAAGCCACCACGUUCAGGACGUCAAGGCAGCAUCUCUGUCCAGAACCAUCAAGUCCAAUGGUGGAUGCUCUCAAGCGGGUGCAGACAUUGCCCGUGGCUUCUCCUGUGUGUGAAGAGCUAGCGAGGAAGAACUGAUGCACCUGAACCGAUUAAGCAUUUGGCCAUCACAGGAGCUGCACUGGUGGUCCUGUGUGCAAAAUGGAUCCUCUAAGCUGAUUUCGACUUCUGUGAUUAAGGUUGUCACGUUGCCUCCGUGUUGGGAAAGAGACAAAGGUUUUCUGGAAGGAUUCCUUCAUUGAUAACGAUGUAAGCUGUUUUCAUGGGAAGGGAAGAACAAGUUGGUGCUAGUGAAUGAACUGAAGUGGUGUUAUCCUUCUGCCCUGGCUCUGAACUCUGUGUCAGGAGCCAAGAGACCAAUAGUGGACCUGCCUGAAGGGGUUUAGCGCCUUCCAUGAUGACAAGCUCUUUGGCGGCAUCUACACAGCAUAAGCGUGGAGACCUGGUGUGCAGCCGCCGGACCCGAAGGCAGGCUCCUUCCUGGAUGAGCAGGCGAGGAUGGCAGCGUUGUCUCUGGAUCCAGAAGGCCAGUGGUGGAAGCCGAAGGCCAGGCCAGGCUGCGUGGGGCCGAGACCCCUCCUCUGGCGGUGGUGGCAGGAGAGAUCCCAAGGAGUGGAGCCAUUCCCUGGGGAAGCCCCUGAAAGUGCAACAGUGGGUGUGACAGAGGAGCAGCAAUGGGCUGGAGACCUUCAGGGGCCAGGGACCUCCGUCGUCAAUGUUUGGGUCCCGGCCGGGAUGGACUUGGGUGAUGGAGAAGCCUGGUCCAGUGACUCUUCAGUGGGAAGACCGGGGCGCAGGGAAGAAGGUGUCACGAGACCGGCCUGGUGGAUGCAGGUUAUCUGAUGGAUGGCUCAAGGGGGCCCGGACUCUGUCCUGGCAGGGAUCUGUGUCCUUGUGAAGAAACGGUGGUCCCGUUUAAGGGACUGAGUGCAGCCCAGCCCCAGCCUGACCUUCAACCCCCAAGCCCUGAGGUUCUGCCUCCUUGGGCUCGUAGCAGAAUCACCUGGACCCCGGGGAAGGAGCAGAACCGGCUGACGCUUGAGUCCGCUGAGUGCAGAAAGGGCGAGUCAGUGGCGGUCCUCCUCGCUUUCCCUGUCCCUCUGUCACUGUCCCUGACUCUCUGUCUCGGUGUCUCUGCCUCAGUCUGUCCCUCUUGUCUCUCGCCUGGCUCUCUCUGUCGCCGUACGGGUCUCUUUCCUUUCUGGCAGCUUCGCGUCUGUGUGGUGGGGUGCACACCAGACCCCGGCGAGCCGAUUGGGCCCGUUUCCCUGGUGAGACCCCUAGACGAUUCCUUCAGUGGGGGAGAUGGCCAAGGAAGCAGUGUGGCAGGCAGCCGCCAGGCCCGAAGGCCGGCUCCUUCCUGGAUGAGCAGGCGAGGAUGGCAGCGUUGUCUUUGGAGCCAGGGGACCAGUGGUGGAAGCCGAAGGCCAGGCCAGGCUGCGUGGGGCCGAGACCCCUCCUCUGGCGGUGGUGGCAGGAGAGAUCCCAAGGUGAGUCAUGGCCCCAUGCUGCUGUCUCAGUUUGGGUCAUUGGGAUAAGGGUUUUCAUUGUCUUCUUACAAAGUAGUAAAUGUAAUCAAAGUUUAACUAUGGUCUAUUGAUAAACUCGGUAAGAAGCCCUAUGUUAAUUGAUAAUAUAUAACCUUGAUAUUUAUUAAGGAAAGAUAAAAUAUCUUUUGGUAUUAAUUAGAGAGAAGUCAAGGAUAUUCAAAUGUCAGUCUUUGCUUUGUUAAUCCAAUCUUUCUUUUAGUAUUAUUCAUUAAGUGAUAAUGUAAUUGAUACUAAAGAUAGAUAAAUGACCUAAAAGUGGGCCCAAACUAACCAAUUGUAAUUAGAAUGUAAGUAGUGAAUGAUGAAUAAUUAGGCUCAACAUAAUCCAUACUUUUUCUUGUUUAUUUCAUCUAUAGGCAGAUGGUAAGAAUGCAUAAACUUCAAGGUCUUAUAUUUUGUUUUAAAAUUCUUACAACAGCAAUGAUAGCACCAUUAAAAUAUAUAGAUGAUAGAUGAAGGAGAACAGAAGAAUCAUUGUCUAAUUAUGAGCAUAUAUGGUGAGGCAAAAUUUAUAAAUAAAAUUGCUAACACCAAUGCCCA
rnacentral:lncRNA from 1 species